AGUGAACGCUGGCGGUAGGCCUAACACAUGCAAGUCGAACGGCAGCACAGUAAGAGCUUGCUCUUACGGGUGGCGAGUGGCGGACGGGUGAGGAAUACAUCGGAAUCUACUUUUUCGUGGGGGAUAACGUAGGGAAACUUACGCUAAUACCGCAUACGACCUACGGGUGAAAGCAGGAGAUCUUCGGACCUUGCGCGAUUGAAUGAGCCGAUGUCGGAUUAGCUAGUUGGCGGGGUAAAGGCCCACCAAGGCGACGAUCCGUAGCUGGUCUGAGAGGAUGAUCAGCCACACUGGAACUGAGACACGGUCCAGACUCCUACGGGAGGCAGCAGUGGGGAAUAUUGGACAAUGGGCGCAAGCCUGAUCCAGCCAUACCGCGUGGGUGAAGAAGGCCUUCGGGUUGUAAAGCCCUUUUGUUGGGAAAGAAAAGCAGCAGGUGAAUACCCCGCUGUUCUGACGGUACCCAAAGAAUAAGCACCGGCUAACUUCGUG
rnacentral:rRNA from 1 species